CAGCACCUCAAGUGGUCAGGAUGAUUAUUGGGCCUAAAGCAUCCGUAGCUUGCUUUGUUAGUUUUCGGUUAAAUCCAUACGCUCAACGUAUGGGCUGCCGGGAAUACUGCAGCGCUAGGGAGUGGGAGAGGUAGACGGUACUCGGUAGGAAGGGGUAAAAUCCUUUGAUCUAUUGAUGACCACCUGUGGCGAAGGCGGUCUACCAGAACACGUCCGACGGUGAGGGAUGAAAGCUGGGGGAGCAAACCGGAUUAGAUACCCGCGUAGUCC
rnacentral:rRNA from 1 species